rnacentral:rRNA from 1 species
CCUACGGGAGGCAGCAGUGGGGGAUAUUGGACAAUGGGGGGAACCCUGAUCCAGCGACGCCGCGUGAGUGAAGAAGUAUUUCGGUAUGUAAAGCUCUGUCAGCAGGGAAGUAAGAAAUGACGGUACCUGACCAAGAAGCCCCGGCUAACUACGUGCCAGCAGCCGCGGUAAUACGGAGGGGGCAAGCGUUAUCCGGAAUUACUGGGUGUAAAGGUAGCGUAGACGGUUAAGUAAGUCGGAGGUGAAAGGCCGGGGCUCAACCCAGGUAUUGCACUGGAAACUAUUGAACUUGAGUGCAGGGGAGGUAAGCGGAAUUCCUAGUGUAGCGGUGAAAUGCGUAGAUAUUAGGAGGAACACCAGUGGCGAAGGCGGCUUACUGGACUGUAACUGACGUUGAGGCUCGAAAGCGUGGGGAGCAAACAGGAUUAGAUACCCCGGUAGUC